UACGGAGGGUGCGAGCGUUAAUCGGAAUUACUGGGCGUAAAGCGCACGCAGGCGGUUUGUUAAGCAAGAUGUGAAAGCCCCGGGCUCAACCUGGGAACUGCAUUUUGAACUGGCAGACUAGAGUCUUGGAGAGGGGGGUGGAAUUCCAGGUGUAGCGGUGAAAUGCGUAGAGAUCUGGAGGAACAUCGAGCGGAGCGGACCGACGCCCUGGCCGAAACUGUCGAC
rnacentral:rRNA from 1 species